rnacentral:rRNA from 1 species
UAGGGAAUCUUCGGCAAUGGACGAAAGUCUGACCGAGCAACGCCGCGUGAGCGAAGAAGGUUUUCGGAUCGUAAAACUCUGUUGUUAGAGAAGAACAAGGACGUUAGUAACUGAACGUCCCCUGACGGUAUCUAACCAGAAAGCCACGGCUAACUACGUGCCAGCAGCCGCGGUAAUACGUAGGUGGCAAGCGUUGUCCGGAUUUCGUGGGCGUAAAGCGAGCGCAGGCGGUUUCUUAAGUCUGAUGUGAAAGCCCCCGGCUCAACCGGGGAGGGUCAUUGGAAACUGGGAGACUUGAGUGCAGAAGAGGAGAGUGGAAUUCCAUGUGUAGCGGGGAAAUGAGUAGAUAUAUGGAGGAACACCAGUGGCGAGGGCGGCGCUCUGGUCAGUAACUGACGCUGAGGCUCGAAGGCGUGGGGAGCAAACAGG